GACGAACGCUGGCGGCGUGCCUAAUACAUGCAAGUCGAACGGUCUUUUCUAUGGAAGCUUGCUUCCACUGAGAAGAUAGUGGCGAACGGGUGAGUAACACGUGGGUAACCUGCCCAUAAGAGGGGGAUAACAUCCGGAAACGGGUGCUAAUACCGCAUAGUUUUCUUGAUCGCAUGAUCAAGAAAGGAAAGACGGCCUUUGUGCUGUCACUUAUGGAUGGACCCGCGGCGUAUUAGUUAGUUGGUGAGGUAACGGCUCACCAAGACGAUGAUACGUAGCCGACCUGAGAGGGUGAUCGGCCACAUUGGGACUGAGACACGGCCCAAACUCCUACGGGAGGCAGCAGUAGGGAAUCUUCCGCAAUGGACGAAAGUCUGACGGAGCAACGCCGCGUGAGUGAAGGAGGUUUUCGGAUCGUAAAACUCUGUUGUCAGAGAAGAACAAGUCGGAGAGUAACUGCUCCGGCCUUGACGGUAUCUGACCAGAAAGCCACGGCUAACUACGUGCCAGCCGCCGCCGUAAGAC
rnacentral:rRNA from 1 species